rnacentral:rRNA from 1 species
UGGGGAAUAUUGGGGCAAUGGGCGAAAGCCUGACCCAGCGACGCCGCGUGAGGGAAGAAGGUCUUCGGAUUGUAAACCUCUGUCAACAGGGACGAAAGCAAUGACGGUACCUGUGGAGGAAGCCACGGCUAACUACGUGCCAGCAGCCGCGGUAAUACGUAGGUGGCGAGCGUUAUCCGGAAUUACUGGGUGUAAAGGGUGUGUAGGCGGGUCGGCAAGUCAGAUGUGAAAAUUAUGGGCUUAACCCAUAACCUGCAUUUGAAACUGUCGGUCUUGAGUGUCGGAGGGGUAAAUAGAAUUCCCGGUGUAGCGGUGAAAUGCGUAGAUAUCGGGAGGAAUACCGGUGGCGAAGGCGAUUUACUGGACGACAACUGACGCUGAGACACGAAAGCGUGGGUAGCAAACAGGAUUAGAUA